GUGGUUUAUUAUGUGGAUAUAUCGUCAAAAGAGAGGCUUCGGAUUUACGAUUGGACUCGUACUGUAAUUGGCAAUGUUGUUCGAGAGCAGAGUACAAGGUUUUCAUCCAACUCUCUGCAAGUGAAGCUCGCAAGGAUUCGUUACGUCAAUAAUCGGUUAUGAUCCUCGGAAUUGCACUAUCUCACUUCAUCCGUCCCUCUUCUUCGAUUUCUAUUCUGCUCUACUCUGACCGCAAGCGCGACACAGAGCGACAUAUUUCUUCGCCGAUUAACUGAUCGACGGUGCAAUUAAUUGGCCAGUCAGCAAAUAAUUUCAUUGCACCCGCCUCUGCGGUCCUGUGGAAACCUAUCGAGAGGACCAUCGGGGACUGGCGGGGAUGCAGUACCCCAGUGGAACCAGACCUAUGCAUUAUGCGCUGCCUUGGUUGCGGUAUCUGCCGUCGAUCGUCGAUAGAUCGACGGCGGCUGUAACGAGCUCGAGGCGAUAAGGCACAUCAGGGAAUUCCAGCGUGCCAACGAUUCUUGUAUAUCGUCGUAAAGCCAUCUAAUUUUUACUCCGAUAUACUAUUUCGCAAAAAAAUAUGACAUUUUAUCAUCGAAUAUGGUAAAUCUUUAAAAAACCGUAAAAUAUACAUGUAUGUUAAUACAAUCAUAUGUUUCAACCCUCGUUGGAAAAAGAGUUUAAAAAAAGAAUUAAAUUAAUACAAUCGUUAUUUUAAAAUUCAGCGCUAUAAUAUUUAUCAUUCGCGUACCAUUAUAAAUUUGACGUUUAUGCGUUGCUAUAAUUUAUCAAAACGCGUGUUUCGCGAAAUUUGUUCGAUCAAUUCGACUCGUGCAAACAACCGACAAAUUGAAUUACAUUUUUGAAUAUUUGAAUCUGCGGAUAUUUAUCUUUAGCUUAUAUUAAUUCAGUUUGUUAUAAAGUCAAAUAGUAAAAUUGCUCUGAGAUAUUAUUUGUACGCAACGGAAAUAGCACUGUUACGGAGUUGAAUUUAGAUGUGACAUUUUCGAAUACGACCGGAUGAAUUGUAGUGAUUUUUCACGUUGUUUUCCCGUCGCAAUAAAGU